UACGUAGGUGGCAAGCGUUAUCCGGAAUUACUGGGCGUAAAGAGAUGCGUAGGCGGUUUGUUAAGCGAGAUGUGAAAUUUUGAGGCUCAACCUCAAGGCUAUAUCUCGAACUAAUAAACUAGAGAAUAAGAGGGGUUACUGGAAUUUCUGGUGUAGGAGUGAAAUCCGUAGAUAUCAGAAGGAACACCAAUGGCGAAGGCAGGUAACUGGCUUAUUUCUGACGCUAAGGCUCGAAAGCGUGGGUAGCGAACGGG
rnacentral:misc_RNA from 1 species